rnacentral:rRNA from 1 species
GGGUUGUGAGGUUAAGCGACUAAGCGUACACGGUGGAUGCCUAGGCAGUCAGAGGCGAUGAAGGGCGUGCUAAUCUGCGAUAAGCGUCGGUAAGGUGAUAUGAACCGCAACAACCGAUGAUACCCGAAUGGGGAAACCCAGUGUGAUAGGUCACACUA